rnacentral:rRNA from 1 species
UACAGAGGUCCCAAGCGUUGUUCGGAUUCACUGGGCGUAAAGGGUGCGUAGGCGGUCGGGUAAGUCUGAUGUGAAAUCUCACAGCUUAACUGUGAAACUGCAUUGGAUACUAUCCGGCUCGAGGAAUGGAGGGGAGACUGGAAUACUUGGUGUAGCAGUGAAAUGCGUAGAUAUCAAGUGGAACACCAGUGGCGAAGGCGGCGACCUGGGCCAAUAUUGACGCUGAGGUGCGAAAGCGUGGGGAGCAAACAGG